rnacentral:rRNA from 1 species
CGCGCAGGCGGCCUAUCAAGUCAGGCGUGAAAGCCCCGGGCUUAACCUGGGAAUUGCGCUUGGGACUGACGGGCUAGAGUUCGGGAGAGGAGAGUGGAAUUCCCAGUGUAGAGGUGAAAUUCGUAGAUAUUGGGAAGAACACCGGUGGCGAAGGCGGCUCUCUGGACCGAGACUGACGCUGAGGCGCGAAAGCGUGGGGAGCAAACAGGAUUAGAUACCCUGGUAGUCCACGCUGUAAACGAUGUGCGCUAGACGUUGGGAGGCGUAGCCUUCCGGUGUCGCAGCUAACGCUUUAAGCGCACCGCCUGGGGAGUACGGCCGCAAGGUUAA